GACGAACGCUGGCGGCGUGCCUAAUACAUGCAAGUAGAACGCUGAAGGAGGGGCUUGCUUCUCUGGAUGAGUUGCGAACGGGUGAGUAACGCGUAGGUAACCUGCCUGGUAGCGGGGGAUAACUAUUGGAAACGAUAGCUAAUACCGCAUAACAGUAGAUAUCGCAUGAUAUCUACUUGAAAGGUGCAAUUGCAUCACUACCAGAUGGACCUGCGUUGUAUUAGCUAGUUGGUGAGGUAACGGCUCACCAAGGCGACGAUACAUAGCCGACCUGAGAGGGUGAGCGGCCACGCUGGGACUGAGACACGGCCCAGACUACUACGGGAGGCAGCAGUAGGGAAUCUUCGGCAAUGGACGGAAGUCUGACCGAGCAACGCCGCGUGAGUGAAGAAGGUUUUCGGAUCGUAAAGCUCUGUUGUAAGAGAAGAACGAGUGUGAGAGUGGAAAGUUCACACUGUGACGGUAUCUUACCAGAAAGGGACGGCUAACUACGUG
rnacentral:rRNA from 1 species